AGCAGCCGCGGUAAUUCCAGCUCCAAUAGCGUAUAUUAAAGUUGUUGCAGUUAAAAAGCUCGUAGUUGAAUUUCGAGAUCAAUUUGUUGGUCGUGCCUCGGUACGUACUGGCAAUUUUGAUUUCUCCCUUCUGAAGAACCAUGAUGUCAUUAAUUUGGUGUCAUGGGGGAUCAGGACCGUUACUUUGAAAAAUUAGAGUGUUUAAAGCAGGCUCGCGCUUGAAUACAUUAGCAUGGAAUAAUGAAAUAGGACGUCUGAUUCUAUUUUGUUGGUUUCUAGGAUCGACGUAAUGAUUAAUAGGGAUAGUUGGGGGCAUUAGUAUUCAAUUGUCAGAGGUGAAAUUCUUGGAUUUAUUGAAGACUAACUACUGCGAAAGCAUUUGCCAAGGAUGUUUUCAUUAAUCAAGAACGAAAGUUAGGGGAUCGAAGACGAUCAGAUACCGUCGUAGUCUUAACCCAUAAACUAUGCCGACUAGGGAUCGGAUGAUGUUAAUUUUU
rnacentral:rRNA from 1 species